rnacentral:rRNA from 1 species
GUCGAGAAUCUUUCACAAUGGGGGCAACCCUGAUGGAGCGACGCCGCGUGGAGGAUAAGGUCUUCGGAUUGUAAACUCCUGUCAUGCGUGAACAAGGUUGCUUGGUUAAUACCUGGGCAAAUUGAUGGUAACGCAAGAGGAAGAGACGGCUAACUCUGUGCCAGCAGCCGCGGUAAUACAGAGGUCUCAAGCGUUGUUCGGAAUCACUGGGCGUAAAGGGUGCGUAGGUGGCGUGGUAAGUCAGAUGUGAAAGCCAGGGGCUCAACCUCGGAACUGCAUCCGAUACUGCCAUGCUAGAGUACUGGAGAGGUGACUAGAAUUCUCGGUGUAGCAGUGAAAUGCGUAGAUAUCGAGAGGAAUACCAAAGGCGUAGGCAGGUCACUGGACAGUUACUGACACUGAGGCACGAAGGCCAGGGGAACGAACGGGAUUAGAAACCCGAGUAGUCC